rnacentral:misc_RNA from 1 species
UCCCGAUUGGCUCGGGCAGUCUCGUCUGAAAAAUACAACAGACGACAAGGGUUGCGCUCGUUGCGGGACUUAACCCAACAUCUCACGACACGAGCUGACGACGGCCAUGCAACACCUGUCACUGGGUUCCCGAAGGCACAGCCCUAUUUCUAGGGCCUUCCCAGGAUGUCAAACCUUGGUAAGGUUCUUCGCGUAGCAUCGAAUUAAACCACAUGCUCCACUGCUUGUGCGGGUCCCCGUCAAUUCCUUUGAGUUUUAGCCUUGCGGCCGUACUCCCCAGGCGGGGCACUUAAUGCGUUAGCGCCGGCACGGGAGGAGUCGACACCUCCCACACCUAGUGCCCAUCGUUUACGGCGUGGACUAC